UAUGUCAAACUCUCAAGCCUCGAUACAACCAAUAAUUGAACUCAUAUUUCAUGCGUCAAAAGAAAAAACACAAUAAACGUUUUCUGUCCUUCAAUCCUCGAUCCUCGAUUAAAUCCAAAUGUUUAUAUCGCAUUGUAGGUAAUCAUGCAUUAAAUCAGAAUAAUCUUGGCACGCGCAAUUUGUUAGUUAACAUCAAUAAGUAAUUGAAUAAAAGCGAAAUCAAUUACAAAACGCAUGUACUAAUUUCAUGCAAAUCAAAACUUAAAACUCUGCCAGCUUUUAAAGAAUGUAUAUAAACAAGAUCGAAUUAUGUUAUUAUUCACAUUGUGCAUCAUCGUGCAUUGCAGUGGCACCACUAACCAAAAACAGUUUUAAAAUAAUCAAAGAUGAAGAAAUUUGUGCUCAUUUUUGUUCUGGCGGUUCAUGCCGUUAGAUGCAUAAGCAUGUAUCAGUAUGUUAACGAGCAAGGAGAACAAUGCGUCUGUGCCACAACAGGAGAUCCCGACAUGUAUGAUAAUCCAUCCAUUGAUCUGCCAUCUUCAGAAAGAACUGUUGAUUCCUGCGAAUAUCGUCCAGGGAAUGCGGAACACGCAUACAAUCCGAUGAUGGAACCCGAUGCUGAUGCAUAUGCACCACCAUCUCGUGGUUCACAAUAUCGCCGUGGAAUGCCGCUUCAACGACGUCAAUUUAAGGCUCGCUUUUGAAAAUGCAUCAUUUAUUAUCUUAAACCUAUCUGCUUAUCAUAAAAAUGUUGUGCACAAACAUUAAAUAAAGCUUUCAUUACACGAACUAA